ensembl:lncRNA MUC20-OT1 MUC20 overlapping transcript
GCGCGGCGGCGACUACAGACGUGUCGGGGGUCCGGGGCCUGUCGCGGUUGCCAAGCGCUCGGCGCUUGGCGCUGGCGCUGGCCAAGGCGUGGCCAACAGUGUUGCAAACAGGAACCCGAGGUGUUCACUUCACUGUUGAAGGAACGAGAGGGCAUCUGCUAAAGUUUCAGAUUCCAUUUCUGCUCAGUAUCCAGUAGUGGAUCAUGAAUUUGAUGCAGUGGUGGUAGGCGCUGGAGGGGCAGGCUUUGCGAGCUGCAUUUGGCCUUUCCGAGGCAGAGUUUGAUACAGCAUGUGUUACCAAGCUGUUUCCUACCAGGUCACACACUGUUGCAGCGCAGGUUGGAAUCAAUGCUGCUCUGGGGAACAUGGAGGAGGACAACUGGAGGUGGCAUUUCUAUGACACCGUGAAGGGCUCCGACUGGCUGGGGGACCAGGAUGCCAUCCACUACGUGACGGAGCAGGCCCCCACUGCCAUGGUCGAGGUAGAAAAUUAUGGCAUGCCGUUUAGCAGAACUGAAGAUGGGAAGAUUUAUCAGCGUGCAUUUGGCGGACACAGCCUCAAGUUUGGAAAGGGCAGGCAGGCCCAUCGGUGCUGCUGUGUGGCUGAUCGGACCGGCCACUCAAUAUUGCACACCUUAUAUGGGAGGUCUCUGCGAUAUGAUACCAGCUGUUUUGUGGAGUAUUUUGCCUUGGAUCUCCUGAUGGAGAAUGGGGAGUGCCGUGGUGUCUUCGCACUGUGCAUACAGGACGGGUCCAUCCAUCGCAUAAGAGCAAAGAAUACUAUUGUUGCCACAGGGCUACGGGCGCACCUACUUGAGCUGCACGUCUGCCCACACCAGCACCAGCGACGGCACGGCCAUGAUCACCAGGGCAGGCCUUCCUUGCCAGGACCUCGAGUUUGUUCAGUUCCACCCCACAGGCACAUAUGGUGCUGGUUGUCUCAUUACGGAAGGAUGUCGUGGAGAGGGAGGCAUUCUCAUUAACAGUCAAGGCGAAAGGUUUAUGGAGCGAUACGCCCCCAUCGCGAAGGACCUGGCGUCUAGAGAUGUGGUGUCUCGGUGGAUGACUCUGGAGAUCCGCGAAGGAAGAGGCUGUGGCCCUGAGAAAGAUCACGUCUACCUGCAGCUGCACCACCUACCUCCAGAGCAGCUGGCCAUGCCCUUGCCCGGCAUUUCAGAGACAGCCAUGAUCUUCGCUGGUGUGGACGUCACGAAGGAGCCGAUCCCUGUCCUCCCCACCGUGCAUUAUAACAUGGACGGCAUUCCCACCAGCUACGAGGGGCAGGUCCUGAGGCACGGGAAUGGCCAGGAUCAGAUUGUGCCCAGCCUGUACGCCUGUGGGGAGGCCGCCUGUGCCUCUGCACAUGGUGUCAACCGCCUCGGGGCAAACUCGCUGUUGGACCUGGUUGUCUGGUCAGGCAUGUGCCCUGAGCAUCGCAGAGUCGUGCAGGCCUGGAGAUAAAGUCCCUCCAAUUAAACCAAAUGCUGGGGAAGAAUCUGUCACGAAUCUUGACAAAUUGAGAUUUGCUGAUGGAAGAAGCAUAAGAACAUCGGAACUGCGACUCAGCAUGCAGAAGUCAACGCAAAAUCAUGCUGCCGUGUUCCGUGUGGGAAGCUUGUUGCAAGAAGGUUGUGGGAAAAUCAGCAAGCUCUAUGGAGACCUGAAGCAUCUGAAGACGUUUGACCGGGGAAUGGUCUGGAACACGGACCUGGUGGAGACCCUGGAGCUGCAGAACCUGAUGCUAUGUGCGCUGCAGACCGUCAAUGGAGCAGAGGCGGGGAAGGAGUCACGGGGCGCGCACGCCGGGGAAGACUACAAGGUGCAGAUUGAUGAGUAUGAUCACUCCAAGCCCAUCCAGGGGCAACAGAAGAAGCCCUUUGAGGUGCACUGGAGGAAGCACACCCUGUCCUAUGUGGACGUCGGCACUGGGAAGGUCAGUGUGGAGCUCGUUCUCACCACAGCCCAGCACCCACACGGCCCCGCCCAGGUCUGCGGGCUGGCCUUGCUGAUGGUGAACGCGGAGGAGCAGGCCAGAUUUAAAUCAACUCCCGACAGAUUUGAGGCACCGCUGAAAAAGGCACUCUGACAGCAGUCGGGCUUCGGGCUGGAAACAGAAUCCAGUGCCUGCAGGUGGUUCAGAGGAGCCUUAAGGAAGGGUUGCUCUGUGGUGUGGGCCAGAUGGAAGUCACUGGGCAGGAGCAAGUGUCCAAGGCCUGGUGGCAGGGGAGGAGAUGAUGAUUGUGGACCUAGCGAGAAAGUCAGCAUCUGUGUGGUGGGGACAGAGCCACUACCAGAAACCAGUCCCGAGCCAAGGGAGCCCAGAAGAGACCCCUCCCCUCUCUUCCCAUGGGCUGGGCCAACUGGAAGCAUCUGCAGGGGAGCAGAGGGGAUGUGGUGCAGCCCUUAGCAUCCCCUGGGCACUGAGCAAGCAGAGAAGGGCAGAAAUGGAGGCAGGGUUGGGGUAAGCAGCGUCCUGGGAACAGCCAGCCGAGGGUGUGGUAGGGGGGUUGCAGCUUGUUCCACACAAGCACAGCGUCUUGGGAACAGCCAGCCGAGGGUGUGGUAGGGGGUUGCAGCUUGUUCCACACAAGCACAGUUCACCUGUGUGGCAUUUCCACUGGGCAUUGAGAUUCAGAAAUCAUGAAGAUAGAAAGCUUUUACCCUUAAGCUUUUCAUAACUUGUAAGGGAGAGUCGUAUAAUCACUUAGCUGUGUCUGUGGAAGUUACCUUUGGACUCUCACUAUCAUCUAGUGUGUCUGUGAUUCAGGCAGUGGGUCAUUUUCAGAAUUUAUCAUGAAGGCCAUUUCCUGAUAGUAUAGAGAGGUCACACUUCACUCGCUUAGCACAAGUCUAUUUUUAAUGUUUCCGGGUUCAGGUUUUUUGUUUUGUUUUUGUUGUUCUGAGAUAGAGUCUCAUCUCUUUUGCCCAGGCUGAAAUGUGGUGGCUCGAUCUCAUCUCACUGCAGCCUCAACCUCCCCUCGGCUCAGGUGAUCCUCCCACCUCAGCCUCCCGGGCACAUGCCACCAUGCCUGGCUAAUUUUUGUAUGUUUUGUAGAGACGGGGUUUUGCCACGUUGCCCAGGCUAGUCUUGAGCUCCUGAGCUCAAGUGAUCCACCUGUCUUGGCCUCCCCAACAGGCAUGAACCAACACGCCCAGCCAGUUUCAGUGAUUUUUGAAGAAAUACAUACUCAUUUUAGAAAGUACAAAGAGAUUGAAAUAAGAGCUCACUAACCAGAGAUGACCCAUUAUGGUUUAAAUUUCUUUGUAUAUGUGCCUACCUUUUCCUGUGUGUGCAUAUUUAAUACACGGCUUGAGUAUUCCUUCUCUGAAAUCCUUGGGACCAGAAGUGUUUUGGAUUUCAGGCUUGUUCAGACUUUGGAAUAUUUGCAUUACACUUACUGUCUGAGCAUCCUUAAUCGGAAGAUCUGACUCCAUAGCACAUUUCUUUUGAAUGUCAUGCUGGUGCUCAGAAAGUUUCAGAUUUGGGAGAAUUUCAGAUGUUUGGAUUAGGGAUGUUCUACCUAUAUAAAUAUUUACUUUGAAGUAGAAAAACUGGAAGUAGAUAGUUUAAACAUGAAGUGUCUUGGUAUAGACAAGGGUUCUCCCACUUUUCAUGAUGGGAGCAUUUUUGUAAAGCAAAGCACUGAGAAUCUGGUACAGUGUCAUUUUCGUUGCUCUGUUCCACUCUACCGAUCUGCCGUCAUUUACAGUCCCCUGUUGCGCAUGUAGAUCAUUUUUGAAUUUGUUAUUGGAAAAUACUGCAGCAAAUACCUUAAAGUUCACAUGCCGUAAAUCUACUUUUAUAGUUAAAAUUUUUCAAAAGGAACACAAGAGAUGGCUUUUUGUACAUUUUUGUGCUUAACUUACCACUGACUUCUUUUCAAGGUCACUGUGGAAUAUAGACCCAUAAUUGACAAAACUUUGAACGAGGCUGACUGUGCCACUGUCCCCCCAGCCAUUCACUCCUACUGAUGAGACAAGAUGUGGUGAUGACAGAAUCAGCUUUUGUAAUUAUGUAUAAUAGCUCAUGCAUGUGUCAAUGUCAUAACUGUCUUUAUACGCUUCUGCACUCUGGGGAAGAAGGAGUACAUUGAAGGGGGAUUGGCACCCAGUGGCCGGGGAGCGUGGCACUUACCUUUGUCCCUUGCUUCAUUCUUGUGACAAGAUAAAACUGGGCACAGCUGUUAAAUAAAAUAUAAAUGAACAAA